rnacentral:tRNA from 1 species
GGCUGACUAGCUCAGCUGGUUAGAGCGUCGUGCUAAUAACGCGAAGGUCUUGGGUUCGAUCCCCAAGUUGGCCA